CUUGCGUCUGGACUUGCAUUGAAUACGCCGUUACUCUUCCUGUGCCAGACGGGACUGAAACAACACAAUCGACUGCGCAUUAAACAUCACAUCUGAAGCAUGAUGGAUAUGGAAUUUCAAAUAGACGUCUUUGUUGGGAUUGGUUAGCCACUCUUGGAGAGCCUUCUGCAGUCUUCUGACGUGAAGUGGCUUGCUGGCCAUCCCCACAAGUGCCAUAAUUUCUAGAAAUUCUUCUUCCCCAGCAUCGCAUAAUUGCUGAACGUCAUCACCUCCUGUUGUGUCGUAGUAUCCAAGGAGAGAAGCACGCUGCAUGACGCGGUACAACUGAAGUUCGGCCUCGUUCUGCGGCACGGAAGUCUGCACGACUGGAAGAGAAGAACAAUGACAAGUAAAAAAAAA